rnacentral:tRNA from 1 species
GAUGAGAUGGCCGAGUUAUAGGUGUUAAAUUGUAAAUUUAAGGACGAAGUGAUCUUCUCUCAUCA